GCAUUAUUUAGGUGCAUUGAUGUAUUGUUGCAUUCCCUUAGGUCCUCAAACGUUCAAAGACUAUAUUAGCUUUAUUAAGGCUAAUGAAGGAAAAAAUGUCAGCUUUGCAGACAGGAUGUGAUUGGGUCAGAAGAGCACCUACAAAAAAGGCAUUUUAAAUAUGCUGUGCACCUUAGAGAUGGUGAUUUUGUUCUUUUCACAGUACCAUGCUUUUGUGAAAAAAAUGAUAAAAAAAAAAAAAGAAGUCACUGGCAUUGUUUUAAAUGUGACAAGAUUAUACAAAGGGGAAAUGCAUUUGAACAACAUCUGCAGAAACAUGGUUGCAUGGUGACACCUUUCAAAGAACUGCCAGAGACAAG
ensembl:lncRNA